AUACGUAGGGUGCAAGCGUUAAUCGGAAUUACUGGGCGUAAAGCGUGCGCAGGCGGUUUUGUAAGACAGUGGUGAAAUCCCCGGACUCAACCUGGGAACUGCCAUUGUGACUGCAAGGCUGGAGUGCGGCAGAGGGGGAUGGAAUUCCGCGUGUAGCAGUGAAAUGCGUAGAUAUGCGGAGGAACACCGAUGGCGAAGGCAAUCCCCUGGGCCUGCACUGACGCUCAUGCACGAAAGCGUGGGGAGCAAACAGGAUUAGAUACCCUGGUAGUCCACGCCCUAAACGAUGUCAACUGGUUGUUGGGGAUUUAUUUUCUCAGUAACGAAGCUAACGCGUGAAGUUGACCGCCUGGGGAGUACGGCCGCAAGGUUAAAACUCAAAUGAAUUGACGGGG
rnacentral:rRNA from 1 species